rnacentral:rRNA from 1 species
GUCUAUGGCCACGCUACCCUAAACAUGCCCGAUCCUGUCUGAUCUCGGAAGCUAAGCAAGGUUGGGCCUGGUUAGUACUAAGAUGGGAGACCACCUAGGAAGACCAGGGGCUGUAGGUG